rnacentral:tRNA from 1 species
GGGCCCAUAGCUCAGACGGUUAGAGCAUCUGACUCAUAAUCAGGGGGUCGUAGGUUCAAAUCCUACUGGGCCCA